AACGAACGCUGGCGGCAGGCCUAACACAUGCAAGUCGAACGCGUCCUUCGGGACGAGUGGCAGACGGGUGAGUAACGCGUGGGAACGUACCCUUUGGUUCGGAACAACAGCGGGAAACUGCUGCUAAUACCGGAUAAGCCCUUCGGGGGAAAGAUUUAUCGCCAGAGGAUCGGCCCGCGUUAGAUUAGCUUGUUGGUGGGGUAAUGGCUCACCAAGGCUACGAUCUAUAGCUGGUCUGAGAGGAUGAUCAGCCACACUGGGACCGAGACACGGCCCAGACUCUUACGGGAGGCAGCAGUGGGGAAUCUUGGACAAUGGGCGAAAGCCUGAUCCAGCCAUGCCGCGUGAAUGAUGAAGGCCCUAGGGUUGUAAAAUUCUUUCGACGGGGAAGAUAAUGACGGUACCCGUAGAAGAAGCUCCGGCUAACUUCGUGCCAGCAGCCGCCGUAA
rnacentral:rRNA from 1 species